GGUUCAGUUGUGUGGUUUGGUAGGAGCUGAUAGAAGUGACAGGGUUUGCAGUGUCACUGGACUACUACUUUGGCUGAAGCCAUGGGGUUUCUCUUGAGAUGGCUUCUGUUGUCCUUGCUAGCUGUUGGAAGACAUCAAGCCCAUGGUCUCAGUAUUGGAUCUGCUAAGAAGCAUGGAGAUAAAGAAGUACCAGUUUCAGGCUAUCAACCAUAUUCAAGUGGAUCUAACACUGGAGUAAGCUCUUUAAAAAGCGCUUGGCUUCUUGGUGGUGAUGAUGGUUUAACCUCUCAUGCAUA